CCCUUAGAGUUUGAUCCUGGCUCAGAACGAACGCUGGCGGCGUGCCUAACACAUGCAAGUCGAGCGCGAAUAGGGGCAACCCUUAGUAGAGCGGCGCACGGGUGUGUAACACGUGGGUAAUCUGCCUCAGAGAUUGGGACAACCUGCCGAAAGGCUGGCUAAUACCGGAUAAGACCACGGGGUCUUCGGUUCCUGAGGGAAAAGGUGGCCUCUGUAUACAAGCUAUCACUCUGAGAUGAGCCCGCGGCCCAUCAGCUAGUUGGUGAGGUAAUGGCUCACCAAGGCAACGACGGGUAGCUGGUCUGAGAGGACGAUCAGCCACACUGGAACUGAGACACGGUCCAGACUCCUACGGGAGGCAGCAGUGGGGAAUUUUGCACAAUGGGCGAAAGCCUGAUGCAGCAACGCCGCGUGUGUGAUGAAGGUCUUCGGAUUGUAAAGCACUUUCGACCGGGACGAAAACCCGUUGGCUAAUAUCCAGCGGCUUGACGGUACCGGGAGAAGAAGCACCGGCUAACUCUGUGCCAGCAGCCGUGGUAAUACAGAGGGUGCAAGCGUUGUUCGGAAUUAUUGGGCGUAAAGCGCGUGUAGGCGGCAUGGCAAGUCGGGUGUGAAAGCCCUCAGCUCAACUGAGGAAGUGCGCCCGAAACUGCCUUGCUUGAGUGCUGGAGAGGGUCGCGGAAUUCCCCAAGUAGAGGUGAAAUUCGUAGAUAUGGGGAGGAACACGGGUGGCGAACGCGGCGACCUGACAGUAACUGACGCUGAGACGCGAAAGCGUGGGGAGCAACAGAUAGAUACCCUGGUAGUCCACGCCGUA
rnacentral:rRNA from 1 species